rnacentral:pre_miRNA from 1 species
UGGCCUCUGAGGUUCCUUCCAACUCGGCAUUCUGUAUUUGGUUUGAAAGGGAUCAGAGGUCAUU